rnacentral:rRNA from 1 species
ACGGCGAGUGAAGCGGCAAUAGCUCGAAUCUGGAAUCUGGCCUAGGCCCGAGUUGGGGUCUGUAGGAUGCUUUUGGCGCGGUGCCUUCCGAGUUCUAUGGAGACGCCACAGAGAGAGAGCCCCGUAUGGUCGGACACCAAGCCUCUGUAAAGCUCCUUCGACGAGUCCUAGCUUGGGAAUGCUGCUCUAAAUGGGAGGUAAACUUCUUCUAAAGCUAAAUACCGGCUAGAGACCGAUAGCGCACAAGUAGAGUGAUCGAAAGAUGAAAAGCACUUGAAAAGAGGGUUAAACAGUACGUGAAAUUGUUGAAAGGGAAGCGCUUGUGACCAGACUUGCGCCGGGCUGAUCAUCCAGCGGUCUCCGCUGGUGCACUCGGUCCGGCUCAGGCCAGCGUCGGUUGUCGCGCGGGGAUAAAAGCCUAGGGAAUGUAGCUCCUUCCGGGGAGUGUUAUAGCCCUCCGCAGAAUAUCCCCGCGGCGACCGAGGUCCGCGCCCUGCAAGGACGCUGGCGUAAUGGUCAUCAGCGACCCGUCUUGAAACACGGAACCAAGGAGUCGAGGUUUUGCGCGAGUGUUCGGGUGGAAAGCCCCAGCGCGUAAUGAAAGGUGAACGCAGGGUGAGAGCUUCGGCCGCAUCAUCGACCCGACCUGAUGUUCUCGGAAUGGAUGUUGAGUAAGA